rnacentral:rRNA from 1 species
AACGGCCGUACCAUGCUGAAUAUACCGGUUCUCGUUAGAUCACCGAAGUCAAGCAUCAUUGGGCGCGGUCAGUACUUGGGUGGGUGACCACCUGGGAACACUGCGAGCCGUU